rnacentral:rRNA from 1 species
GGGUUUGAUCCUGGCUCAGGACUAACGCUGGUGGUGUGUCUAAGCCAUGCAAGUCGAGCGAAUCUUCAGCGGUUUAUAUCGCUGAGGGUCAGCGGCGGACGGGUGAGUAACGCGUGAGUAACCUGCCGACAAGUUUGGGAUAGCCUUGAGAAAUCAAGGAUAAUACCGAAUAAUACCAUAAGGCAUGAAGCCUGAUGGUCAAAGGUUGCUUCUUUUUGAAGCUAUCGCUUGAUGAGGGGCUCGCGUCCCAUUAGUUAGUUGGUGAGGUAAAGGCUCACCAAGACCACGAUGGGUAGCCGGCCUGAGAGGGUGACCGGCCACGCUGGGACUGAGACACGGCCCAGACUCCUACGGGAGGCAGCAGGCUAGAAAUUUGGACAAUGGACGAAAGUCUGAUCCAGCGACACCACGUGGGGGAUAUGAAGGCCUUCGGGUUGUAAACCCCUGUCAAAGAGGACGAAGCUCUGGUAGUCUAAUAGGCUUUCCAGAGUGACGGUACUCUUAAUAGGAAGCCACGGCUAAUUCCGUGCCAGCAGCCGCGGUAAAACGGAAGUGGCAAGCGUUGUCCGGAAUCACUGGGCGUAAAGGGGACGUAGGCGGGUAACUAAGUUGGAUGUGAAAACCAGCUGCUUAACGGCUGGCCUGCAUUCAAAACUGGUUACCUUGAGUCUGACAGAGGAGAGUGGAACUUCUGGUGUAGCGGUGGAAUGCGUAGAUAUCAGAAGGAACACCAAAGGCGAAGGCAGCUCUCUAGGUCAAGACUGACGCUGAGGUCCGAAAGCUAGGGUAACAAACGGGAUUAGAUACCCCGGUAGUCCUAGCCGUAAACGAUGGGCACUUGACGUAGGCUUUAUGUCUGCGUCGUAGCUAACGUGUUAAGUGCCCCGCCUGGGGAGUACGUUCGCAAGGAUGAAACUCAAAGGAAUUGACGGGGACCCGCACAAGCGGUGGAGGAUGUGGUUCAAUUCGAGGCAACGCGAAGAACCUUACCUGGGCUUGACAUGUAGGAAGUAGGAACCUGAAAGGGGGACCACUGGUAACCAAUCCAGAGCCUACACAGGUGCUGCAUGGCUGUCGUCAGCUCGUGCUGUGAGGUGUUGGGUUAAGUCCCGUAACGAGCGCAACCCCUUUCUCUUGUUGCCAUCAGGUUAAUAUAACGCUGGGCACUCGAGAGAAACUGCCCCGGAUAACGGGGAGGAAGGUGGGGAUGNNGGAUGACGUCAAGUCAUCAUGGCCCUUAUGCUCAGGGCUACACACGUCCUACAAUGGUUGCUACAGAGGGUUGCAAACCCGCGAGGGGGAGCUAAUCCCUAAAAGCAGCCACAGUUCGGAUUGCAGGAUGCAACUCGCCUGCAUGAAGCUGGAAUCGCUAGUAAUCGCGGAUCAGAAUGCCGCGGUGAAUACGUUCCCGGGUCUUGUACACACCGCCCGUCACGCCAUGGAAGUCGGCAAUACCCGAAGCCAUCGAUUCAACCUCGAGAGGACGAUGUCGAAGGUAGGGCCAGCAACUGGGGCGAAGUCGUAACAAGGUAGCCGUGCCGGAAGGAGCGGCUG